rnacentral:rRNA from 1 species
UACGGAGGGUGCGAGCGUUGUCCGGAAUCACUGGGCGUAAAGGGCGCGUAGGCGGCGCGGCUAGUCGGCGGUGAAAGCCCGGAGCUCAACUCCGGGUCGGCCAUGGAUACUCCUUGACUUGAGCACUGUAGAGGCAGAUGGAAUUCCUGGUGUAGCGGUGAAAUGCGCAGAUAUCAGGAGGAACACCGGUGGCGAAGGCGGGUCUCUGGGCCGAUACUGACGCUGAGGAGCGAAAGCGUGGGGAGCGAACAGG